UACGAAGGGUGCUAGCGUUGUUCGGAAUCACUGGGCGUAAAGCGCGCGUAGGCGGCUUUUCAAGUCAGGGGUGAAAUCCUGAGGCUUAACCUCAGAACUGCCUUUGAAACUGUAAAGCUGGAGUGUCGGAGGGGAUGGCGGAAUUCCUAAUGUAGCGGUGAGAUGCGUAGAUAUUAGGAGGAACACCAAUUGCGAAGGCAGCUCGCUGGGACGUUACUGACGCUGAGACGCGAAAGCGUGGGGAGCAAACAGG
rnacentral:rRNA from 1 species